CAGCCGCCGCGGUAAUACGGAGGAUCCAAGCGUUAUCCGGAUUUAUUGGGUUUAAAGGGUGCGUAGGUGGAUUAAUUAGUCAGUGGUGAAAGCCUGCAGCUUAACUGUAGAAUUGCCAUUGAUACUGUUAAUCUUGAGUUCAGUUGAGGUAGGCGGAAUAUGUCAUGUAGCGGUGAAAUGCUUAGAUAUGACAUAGAACACCGAUUGCGAAGGCAGCUUGCUAAACUGAUACUGACACUGAGGCACGAAAGCGUGGGGAGCGAACAGGAUUAGAUACCCUGGUAGUCCACGCCCUAAACGAUGAUUACUCGAUGUGUGCAAUACACCGUACGCGUCUAAGCGAAAGCGUUAAGUAAUCCACCUGGGAAGUACGUUCGCAAGAAUGAAACUCAAAGGAAUUGACGGGGGCCCGCACAAGCGGAGGAGCAUGUGGUUUAAUUCGAUGAUACGCGAGGAACCUUACCUGGGCUUGAAAGUUAGUGCAUAACCUUGAAAGAGGUUAGUCAGCAAUGACGCGAAACUAGGUGCUGCAUGGUUGUCGUCAGCUCGUGCCGUGAGGUGUUGGGUUAAGUCCCGUAACGAGCGCAACCCUUAUCAUUAGUUGCCAGCGGUUCGGCCGGGAACUCUAAUGAGACUGCCUACGCAAGUAGUGAGGAAGGUGGGGAUGACGUCAAAUCAUCACGGCCCUUACGUCCAGGGCUACACACGUGCUACAAUGGACGGUACAGUAGGUCGCUACAUGGCAACAUGAUGCUAAUCCGAAAAGCCGUUCUCAGUUCGGAUUGAAGUCUGCAACUCGACUUCAUGAAGGCGGAUUCGCUAGUAAUCGCACAUCAGCAAUGGUGCGGUGAAUACGUUCCCGGGCCUUGUACACACCGCCCGUCAAGCCAUGGAAGCCGGGGUACCUAAAGUCGGUAACCGCAAGGAGCCGCCUAGGGUAAAACUGGUAACUGGGGCUAAGUCGUAACAAGGUAGCCGUA
rnacentral:rRNA from 1 species